AACCUUCUGUAUCCGUGCAGAGAUUUCGUCACAGAUCAGAUCAUAAGGGUUGAUGAGACUUCCAAGAUAAGUGAAGCG
rnacentral:pre_miRNA from 1 species